GGGAGUGGAUGGGUUCUGGUGUUCCCUCUAGUCUUCAAAACUAGCAUGAGGAGUUAGUAGCUACUUAGGUGGGUUCGAUUCCCACACAUUCCCGCCA
rnacentral:tRNA from 1 species